rnacentral:rRNA from 1 species
AUACGGAGGGUGCAAGCGUUACUCGGAAUCACUGGGCGUAAAGCGCGCGAAGGCGGCCCGAUAAGUUGGAUGUGAAAGCCUACGGCUCAACCGUAGAACUGCAUCCAAAACUAUCGGGCUAGAGUCUGGGAGGGGAAGAUGGAAUUAGUUGUGUAGGGGUAAAAUCCGUAGAGAUAACUAGGAAUACCAAAAGCGAAGGCGAUCUUCUGGAACAGUACUGACGCUGAGGCGCGAAAGCGUGGGGAGCAAACAGGAUUAGAAACCCUAGUAGUCC